CAUGGCCUUUAUGUCCUAGGGCUACACGACGUGCUACAAUGGGUGGUACAAAGAGCAGCUAACUCGACGAGAGUAUGCAAAUCUCAAAAAGCCAUCCUCAGUUCGGAUUGGAGUCUGCAACUCGACUCCAUGAAGUUGGAAUCGCUAGUAAUCGCGGAUCAGCAUGCCGCGGUGAAUACGUUCCCGGGCCUU
rnacentral:rRNA from 1 species